rnacentral:lncRNA from 1 species
CAAUAUAUUUCCAUGAUACCGGAGCAGAUAUAUUAUUCGGCAAUGAUUUUCUGCAAACCUUCAAGCGAUAUACACAGGACAAUGAGGCUAGGAGGCUGGUGUUCACAACCAAUUGUGACCACAAAAUCAUUGUGCAAAGGCUCGAAGGAGCUUUUAAUCGCUCGAUGCCAUUAAAAUUUUGCAGCAAGCGUGGUGAUGAUGGCAGACUCCGGAGACCACAAAUGAAGGAUCAAAGGAGAUUCGGAGAAGUUCU